UGAGUUUGAUCAUGGCUCAGAGCGAACGCUGGCGGCAGGCCUAACACAUGCAAGUCGAACGGACCCUUCGGGGUUAGUGGCGGACGGGUGAGUAACACGUGGGAACGUGCCUUUAGGUUCGGAAUAGCUCCUGGAAACGGGUGGUAAUGCCGAAUGUGCCCUUCGGGGGAAAGAUUUAUCGCCUUUAGAGCGGCCCGCGUCUGAUUAGCUAGUUGGUGAGGUAACGGCUCACCAAGGCGACGAUCAGUAGCUGGUCUGAGAGGAUGACCAGCCACACUGGGACUGAGACACGGCCCAGACUCCUACGGGAGGCAGCAGUGGGGAAUCUUGCGCAAUGGGCGAAAGCCUGACGCAGCCAUGCCGCGUGAAUGAUGAAGGUCUUAGGAUUGUAAAAUUCUUUCACCGGGGACGAUAAUGACGGUACCCGGAGAAGAAGCCCCGGCUAACUUCGUGCCAGCAGCCGCGGUAAUACGAAGGGGGCUAGCGUUGCUCGGAAUUACUGGGCGUAAAGGGCGCGUAGGCGGAUCGUUAAGUCAGAGGUGAAAUCCCAGGGCUCAACCCUGGAACUGCCUUUGAUACUGGCGAUCUUGAGUAUGAGAGAGGUAUGUGGAACUCC
rnacentral:rRNA from 1 species